GGAACUAAAAGUCGUAACAAGGUCUCCGUUGGUGAACCAGCGGAGGGAUCAUUA
rnacentral:rRNA from 1 species